rnacentral:rRNA from 1 species
GACGAACGCUGGCGGCGUGCUUAACACAUGCAAGUCGAACGGGCCCGCUCUCUUUUUUGGGGGUGGGUUGAGUGGCGAACGGGUGAGUAUCACGUGAGUAACCUGCCCCCUGCUCCUGGAUAACUGCUUGAAAGGGCGGCUAAUACGGGGUGUGCCGGCUGGUCCGCAUGGGCCCGGUCGGGCUAGUUUCAUCUUCGGGUGUUUCGGUGGGGGAUGGGCUCGCGGCCUAUCAGGUUGUUGGCGGGGUGAUGGCCCACCAAGGCGGUGACGGGUAGCCGGCCUGGGAGGGUGGGCGGCCAGACUGGGACUGAGACACGGCCCAGGCUGCGGCGGGAGGCAGCGGUGGGGGGUGUUGCAAAAGGGGCGGAAGCCUGAAGCCGCGACGUCGCGUGAGGGAUGGAGGCCUUCGGGUUGUGAAACUCUUUCGCAGGUGGGGAAGGCCCUGUCCGUUGCGGCGGGGUUGACGGUAGCCGGGUAUGAAGCGCCGGCUAACUACGUG